rnacentral:rRNA from 1 species
UACGAAGGGGGCGAGCGUUGUUCGGAAUUACUGGGCGUAAAGGGCGCGUAGGCGGCCGAGCAAGUUAGAUGUGAAAGUCCCGGGCUUAACCUGGGGGCUGCAUUUGAUACGUGUUGUCUUGAGUUCGGAAGAGGGUCGUGGAAUUCCCAGUGUAGAGGUGAAAUUCGUAGAUAUUGGGAAGAACACCGGUGGCGAAGGCGGCGACCUGGUCCGACACUGACGCUGAGGCGCGAAAGACGUGGGGAGCAAACAGG